rnacentral:rRNA from 1 species
CUACGGGUGGCAGCAGUGGGGAAUCUUGCGCAAUGGGCGAAAGCCUGACGCAGCAACGCCGCGUGCGGGAAGAAGGCUUUCGGGCUGUAAACCGCUUUCAGUAGGAACGAAACUGACGGUACCUACAGAAGAAGGAGCGGCCAACUAUGUGCCAGCAGCCGCGGUGACACAUAGGCUCCAAGCGUUGUCCGGAUUUAUUGGGCGUAAAGAGCUCGUAGGCGGCCGAGUAAGUCGGGUGUGAAAACUCUGGGCUUAACCCAGAGAUGCCACUCGAUACUGCUGUGACUUGAGUUCGGUAGGGGAGCGGGGAAUUCCUUGUGUAGCGGUGAAAUGCGCAGAUAUGAGGAGGAACACCGGUGGCGAAAGCGCCGCUCUGGGCCGUAACUGACGCUGAGGAGCGAAAGCGUGGGUAGCAAACAGGAUUAGAUACCCUCGUAGUC